rnacentral:tRNA from 1 species
AGACCAAGAGCCUUCAAAGCCCUAAGUAAGUGCAUUAUACUUAACUCCUG